GGCAUAUGGGAGCUUAACUGCGAGUCCGACAGGACGAGCAGAUAGGAAACUAGGACCUAGUGAUCCGGUGGUAGAUUAUGGGAUUGCCAUCGCUCAACGGACAAUAGGUACUCCGGGGAUAACAGGCUGAUAGCGUUCGAGAGUUCAUAUCGACAACGCUGUUUGGCACCUCGAUGUCGGCUCAUCGUAUCCUGGGGCUGGACAAGGUCCCAAGGGUCCGGCUGUUCGCCGGUUAAAACGGUACGUGAGCUGGGUUUAGAACGUCGUGAGACAGUUCGGUCUCUAUCUGGUGUGGGCGUUCGAUACUUGAAGGGGAGCUCUCUUUAGUACGAGAGGACCGAGAGAGACAAACCUCUGGUGUUCCAGUUAUCCUGCCAAGGGUAAUGGCUGGGUAGCCACGUUUGGAAGGGAUAAGCGCUGAAAGCAUAUAAGCGCGAAGCCCCCCCCAAGAUUAGGUAUCGUGGUCGUAAGACGACAGGCUCCUUGUAGACUACGAGGUUGAUAGGCCGCGUGUGUAAGACCAGAAAUGGUUUCAGCUAAGCGGUACUAAUAAGCCGAACGCUUGACCUU
rnacentral:rRNA from 1 species